GGCCUUUUAGAAAAUCUCAUGUCACUUCCUAGUUGGAGCAAUUAAGCAAUAGAGAAGAUGGGUGUUCUGGAACAGAAUUUAAUGAAACAGAACUCCACCAUCUAUGGCAAGUUUGACUGCUUGAGUCUCCAGAGGAUAAGAGUUGGAGGCCACUGAAGCCCAAAUUCAUUAGUCCGGCCAUUGAAGGUCACAAGUGAACAAAGGAGGACGGCAAAGACAGAACUGUGAUACUCAAACACUCAAUAGCUCACAGCGUGGGGGUUCAUUAUGACACUUACUAAGCACAUGCCAUAUUUCUGACACUGUGCUAAGAGUUUCAUGAAUAUUAACUAAAUUAACCUCAUAAAAAUGCCAUUAGAAAGAUGCAAUUUUGUAACCCCUUACACAGAUGAAGAAAAUAAAAUAUGGAGACUUUAAGAAAUUUUCCAGAAGUCUUAUAACUGAUUGGUUUGCUAUGGCUCUUUGAAAUAGUUACUCUUGUCCUCAUUUUAGAGAUGGUGAUACUAAGACAGAAAAUGGCUAGCCUGGACCUCUUUUUGUGGAGACUGGAUUCCAAUACUCAAAGUAGAAGUAUAUGUUUUCUCCAAACAGGGCUUUAAGGCUUCACUUCUGCAACAUUCUAUUGAUGAAAGCAAGUCACAAGACCAGACUGGUUCAAGGGGUGCAGAAAUAGACCCUACUUCUUGACGGAGGGAGCAGUAGAGUUACAUUGCAAAGGGAUCUGGACAAAAAAAGGAGUGAUUUAUCAGGAAUCAUGUUUAACAAUUUACCGCAAUCCCCAGCGCAACUUCCUGUUAGCUGGAUCCAGAAAUGUCUACAACUACUGCAAUGCCAUUUGACCUUAGGGGUGAUGUGACCCAGGGUAAAGAGACGGUAGUCUGAACCCAUCAGUUUAGUUUUGGAAGGUAUAAAAAAUAUGUAACAACAUGAAUGCACUUUUAGGGUCAGACAAGAGUCUUGGAAAGAGUCUGUAAAAGGGAGGAGUCCUGAGGCCUAAACCUCAUGAGUGUCAAUGCUUACCUGUAUCUAGGCACUGGCAAUCCCCCUUUUUGAUAAGGCCAAGAUUGAUUGUUUUCCUUUCCUACCUACUCCAUAUCUAAUUGAUGUGCAAACACUGUUAAUACAAAAAACCCCUAAAUUCAACAAUUUGUGAAGAAUUUUUACACUAACAUGUUGGUUCAAAAACUCAACAUUGCUUGCUAAGACUAUUGCAAUAAACUCCUCUAUGAUC